UACGUAGGGUGCAAGCGUUAAUCGGAAUACUGGGCGUAAAGCGUGCGCAGGCGGUGAUGUAAGACAGGUGUGAAAUCCCCGGGCUUAACCUGGGAACUGCAUUUGUGACUGCAUAGCUAGAGUACGGUAGAGGGGGGAUGGAAUUCCGCGUGUAGCAGUGAAAUGCGUAGAUAUGCGGAGGAACACCGAUGGCGAAGGCAAUCCCCUGGACCUGUACUGACGCUCAUGCACGAAAGACGUGGGGAGCAAACGAGGAUA
rnacentral:rRNA from 1 species